CACGUAGGGGGCGAGCGUUGUCCGGAUUCAUUGGGCGUAAAGGGCGCGUAGGCGGGCCAGCAUGUCCGGGGUGAAAUCUUUCGGCUUAACCGGAAAAGGGCUUCGGAAACGGCUGGUCUUGAGGGAGGUAGGGGCAGGUGGAACUUCCGGUGGAGCGGUGAAAUGCGUUGAGAUCAGAAGGAACGCCGGUGGCGAAAGCGACCUGCUGGACCUCUUCUGACGCUGAGGCGCGAAAGCCAGGGGAGCAAACGGG
rnacentral:rRNA from 1 species